AAGUCGUAACAAGGUCUCCGUUGGUGAACCAGCGGAGGGAUCAUUAAUGAGGACAAAACCCCUCUUCAAACCACUGUGAACCUGCUAUAUUUCGUUGUUUCGGUAGGCGGCCCCUGGGGGGGUCCUUGGCCUUCUGGCGCCUGCCGGGCGGCACUAUAAAAUCUUACAGUGCUUAUUUCUCAGCGUAUAUUAGCCUGUCUUACGGGCGUUAUAAUCAGUAAAAACUUUCAACAACGGAUCUCUUGGUUCUG
rnacentral:misc_RNA from 1 species